rnacentral:rRNA from 1 species
CUGUAAGCCUGCGAAGGUGUGCUGUGAGGUAUGCUGGAGGUAUCAGAAGUGCGAAUGCUGACAUAAGUAACGAUAAAGCGGGUGAAAAGCCCGCUCGCCGGAAGACCAAGGGUUCCUGUCCAACGUUAAUCGGGGCAGGGUGAGUCGACCCCUAAGGCGAGGCCGAAAGGCGUAGUCGAUGGGAAACAGGUUAAUAUUCCUGUACUUGGUGUUACUGCGAAGGGGGGACGGAGAAGGCUAUGUUGGCCGGGCGACGGUUGUCCCGGUUUAAGCGUGUAGGCUGGUUUUCCAGGCAAAUCCGGAGAAUCAAGGCUGAGGCGUGAUGACGAGGCACUACGGUGCUGAAGCAACAAAUGCCCUGCUUCCAGGAAAAGCCUCUAAGCAUCAGGUAACAUCAAAUCGUACCCCAAACCGACACAGGUGGUCAGGUAGAGAAUACCAAGGCGCUUGAGAGAACUCGGGUGAAGGAACUAGGCAAAAUGGUGCCGUAACUUCGGGAGAAGGCACGCUGAUAUGUAGGUGAAGCGACUUGCUCGUGGAGCUGAAAUCAGUCGAAGAUACCAGCUGGCUGCAACUGUUUAUUAAAAACACAGCACUGUGCAAACACGAAAGUGGACGUAUACGGUGUGACGCCUGCCCGGUGCCGGAAGGUUAAUUGAUGGGGUCAGCGCAAGCGAAGCUCUUGAUCGAAGCCCCGGUAAACGGCGGCCGUAACUAUAACGGUCCUAAGGUAGCGAAAUUCCUUGUCGGGUAAGUUCCGACCUGCACGAAUGGCGUAAUGAUGGCCAGGCUGUCUCCACCCGAGACUCAGUGAAAUUGAACUCGCUGUGAAGAUGCAGUGUACCCGCGGCAAGACGGAAAGACCCCGUGAACCUUUACUAUAGCUUGACACUGAACACUGGUCCUUGAUGUGUAGGAUAGGUGGGAGGCUUUGAAGUGUGGACGCCAGUCUGCAUGGAGCCGUCCUUGAAAUACCACCCUUUAAUGGCUGGUGUUCUAACGUGGGCCCGUAAUCCGGGUUGCGGACAGUGUCUGGUGGGUAGUUUGACUGGGGCGGUCUCCUCCUAAAGAGUAACGGAGGAGCACGAAGGUUGGCUAAUCCUGGUCGGACAUCAGGAGGUUAGUGCAAUGGCAUAAGCCAGCUUGACUGCGAGCGUGACGGCGCGAGCAGGUGCGAAAGCAGGUCAUAGUGAUCCGGUGGUUCUGAAUGGAAGGGCCAUCGCUCAACGGAUAAAAGGUACUCCGGGGAUAACAGGCUGAUACCGCCCAAGAGUUCAUAUCGACGGCGGUGUUUGGCACCUCGAUGUCGGCUCAUCACAUCCUGGGGCUGAAGUAGGUCCCAAGGGUAUGGCUGUUCGCCAUUUAAAGUGGUACGCGAGCUGGGUUUAGAACGUCGUGAGACAGUUCGGUCCCUAUCUGCCGUGGGCGCUGGAGAACUGAGGGGGGCUGCUCCUAGUACGAGAGGACCGGAGUGGACGCAUCACUGGUGUUCGGGUUGUCAUGCCAAUGGCACUGCCCGGUAGCUAAAUGCGGAAGAGAUAAGUGCUGAAAGCAUCUAAGCACGAAACUUGCCCCGAGAUGAGUUCUCCCUGAGACUUAGAGUCUCCUGAAGGAACGUUGAAGACGACGACGUUGAUAGGCCGGGUGUGUAAGCGCAGCGAUGCGUUGAGCUAACCGGUACUAAUGAACCGUGAG